UUUGAACCUUUCAGGUGGCGUCAGCGAGUUAAACGAGGAUCGAGAAGCUAGGACUUGCAUCUUGAGGGUAGGACAGGAUAGCGGCUAGGACCUGCAUCUUGAGGAUAGAAGGAGGUGUUGGAGAUAAUGAUGUCGACAGUGGCGCUGACGCUGACGGUGGCGUCAGCGAGUUUAACGAGGAUCGAGAAGCUAGGACUUGCAUCUUGAGGAUAGGAUAGGAUAGCGGCUAGGACUUGCAUCUUGAGGAUAGGAUAGGAUAGGAUAGCGGCUAGGACUUGCAUCUUGAGGAUAGAAGGAGGCGUCGGGAGAUAAUGAUGACGACAAUGGCGCUGACGCUGACGGUAAGUAAUAACAUUAAUAUUAAUAACAUUAGUAAAUUCUUUAUGUAGACUUAUUUGAACCUUUCAGGUGGCGUCAGCGAGUUAAACGAGGAUCGAGAAGCUAGGACUUGCAUCUUGAGGGUAGGACAGGAUAGCGGCUAGGACCUGCAUCUUGAGGAUAGAAGGAGGUGUUGGAGAUAAUGAUGUCGACAGUGGCGCUGACGCUGACGACAUAUCAACUACUGAACAAUCUGAACCAAAAUGCAAGUUUAAAAGCUGCGUGUAGCUUCUGAAUUCAUUUAUUUCCAAUCUGCAACCAAGAUAGGCAAAGGGAGGUGGCGUCAGCGAGUUUAACGAGGAUCGAGAAGCUAGGACUUGCAUCUUGAGGAUAGGAUAGGAUAGCGGCUAGGACUUGCAUCUUGAGGAUAGAAGGAGGUGUCGGGAGACAAUGAUGACGACAAUGGCGCUGACGCUGACGGUAAGUAAUAACAUUAAUAUUAAUAACAUUAGUAAAGUAUUACGCCCGACGUAU